CAUACAUAGAAAAUCCUUUCUGAAUUUUAACUUAGUUUGAUGGCUCUUGAAAGCAAGCUUUGAGAGGUUAAUGAGGGUUCUGUGACUUUUCACAGAGUGAUAGCCAUUAAAAAGAUGACAACUGAUGUGUAAUUAUAUCUUUUUAUGGAAAAUUCUCUCUGCUUAUCUGAUCAUUACAGAAUUCAUAAGUUUCUGAACCUCAGAUCAAGAAGGUUUUAGAAGCUGAGGACCCAUGACUGAAUGCCUUGUUCCUGUUGCAUUGUCUCCAAUGCUUGCAUUUUUCAACUCAUCUACAAUACCAUUUGCAGUGUGUGAAAGGUGCUUGGAGGCCUUUUCCUAUGAAAUGCACUUGCUUUUACUACUCCUAGUGAAGAGGGAAAUACAUGGAGUUGCCAGGGUUACCAUGACUUUUCUUGAAGUCCUAGGAUGAUGUAGGAUAAACACCUACAGUUCAUGGAUAUGUGUUUCUGUGUGGGGUGAAAAGGUUUCUGUCCAGGGCCAUUUUGACAAAGUUGGGAUGAAUGGCAUCCGGUAUCCCAGGUAAGCCUUUAACUAGAACUGACCUUGGGAUUCCUUUUACAAGCUUGUGCAGCACACACAGGAACCCCUUUGCUGUGCAGCAGCAUUUAUCAUUUGCAGGGAAAAAGUAAAGACAACACUAAAGUUUCCUGGGUGGUGAAGACUCAAUGCCAGAAAUUGUGACCCUUAAAUGUGUCUUGCCACGGGAGCAGUAAGUCAGGAUCACAACUCUCCUUGACUGGGAGCUGCGAUGCAGAUGCGGCUGUGAAUUCAGGGACAGGCUGCAGCCAGUAAAUAUAAGAUCAACUGCUGCUGUAGAUCUUCCUGAUAAUUAAUUCCACAGAGAUGAUGAGACUUUCCACAUUCCAUAAUAUUAAGUUUCCCCAAACCAUAUUAAGAUUAAGCUUGUAACAUUUACAUAUGGAUGUAUGAAGUUAUACCUGUAGCAGGUAUAACUAUGUUUGCAACUUCUGCCUAAGAAACAUAGACAUGGUUAUUUCAAAGUCAAAUGUUAUUAUAUAUCAUCACAAAAAAACCUCUGUAGAAGUAAAAAUCAAGGCUAAGAAAGGUCAUAUUUAAUAUAUUAUAAAAU